rnacentral:rRNA from 1 species
UGGGGAAUAUUGCACAAUGGGCGCAAGCCUGAUGCAGCCAUGCCGCGUGUAUGAAGAAGGCCUUCGGGUUGUAAAGUACUUUCAGCGAGGAGGAAGGCGGUAAGGUUAAUAACCUUAUCGAUUGACGUUACUCGCAGAAGAAGCACCGGCUAACUCCGUGCCAGCAGCCGCGGUAAUACGGAGGGUGCAAGGGUUAAUCGGAAUUACUGGGCGUAAAGCGCACGCAGGCGGUCUGUCAAGUCGGAUGUGAAAUCCCCGGGCUCAACCUGGGAACUGCAUUCGAAACUGGCAGGCUAGAGUCUUGUAGAGGGGGGUAGAAUUCCAGGUGUAGCGGUGAAAUGCGUAGAGAUCUGGAGGAAUACCGGUGGCGAAGGCGGCCCCCUGGACAAAGACUGACGCUCAGGUGCGAAAGCGUGGGGAGCAAACA